GGCGGGAAUUCCAGACAAGUUUAGAAAUCUCAGUAAUUUAUAGUAAAACAGAAAUUAACUUUUUCAUGACUUUGUGAUGAUAUGGCUCCUAAUCUUAAAACAGAAUUAGGCUGAGUUCACCGAUACUUGGUGCUUCUGAGUGAAUGUAGCUUUCCUUAAAGUGACAGUUCAGGGUCGUAGGCUACUUCCAUCUCAACUUGUAACUUCCAGCGUCACAGUGUUCAUCGUAAGAAGGGGAAAGACUGAGGGAGGUGGCAAAGAAAGGUCUCAGUGGUCAAGGAGCGGGGGUCGCAAAGGUUUCUGGGAAAUGUAGUCGAGUUGCGAGGCCUACGUCCAAGCUGCGCAGGCGCAUUCGCGAACACGCCUCUGCGCCCAGGUGACUCGGCACCUGGCAGGGCAGACCCAGGGCAGGAGAGCGUGGGCCGUGCUAGACAGUCUCAUUAGUUUGCCCAGUUUGGCCUUGGACUUGCAAUCCUCUUGGCUCAGCCUUCCAAGUUGCUGCGAUUACAGGUUUCAAAGCUGGAGUUCCAGAGGCCAUCCUUGGAAAAUGCCUCCAAAAUCUCCUGGGAGAGCCCUUCUUCUAAGAAAUCCUGAUGCAGAGGAGAGGCCUUGGUCUCAGUCAUAUCUGAAAGAGAGAAUACAAAUGUCUCCAGUGGGAAAGACCAGAGCUGUGGGCUGAGAAUGUGGACAAGAGGCAGUAGGGGUGAUACGUCUUGAGUCCAGCCUGUCCAUCAAGGGGGUUAAAGGAAAGGGGCCCGAAGUGGUGUCCCGUCUGAAACUGGCAUCAAGAAACGGAGUCCAUUCUCAAGAAGGGAAUCUGGAAACUUCAGGAGUUCAACUGAGAGGGAGAAUCCCAGCCAUAACCCUCAUACCUACAUCAAUGACUGUGUUCCCCAAAGUCUCCUGGAGAAUGAUUCAAUCACCCACCCAGUCCUUCACAUCUGAAUCCUGGGAGUCCGCAUCCCCACUCCCACUCACCACUUUCUGCCAGACCUCCUUGGGAAUGUCAACUCCCUCCCUCUCCGGUGUCAAUCAUCAACUUCCACCCAGCCAUCAGGGGCUGUGUGACAACCAGCUCGGCUACAUCACUCCCCCAAUAAACACUUCCAGAGCCUCUGAAGAGAAAUGCAAGUGCAUGAAUCCAGCAUUCUCUGUACUGGCCCCAAAGAACUCCUGCAUGUCCCUGAAUUUACCAAACUUUCUUAUCUGUGCCAUAACAGGACUCUUGUGCCCAAGUGCCCUUCACAGGCAAACUGUUCUGUGUCCUAGCUUGAGUACCACCCUACUCUGAGGUAUCCCCAAAACCCCACACUGCUUUCUGCUGAGAGUGCCCCACCUUGUGUUCUCUCUGAAACAGCUGAGCUUUCAUCACCCUCUACUGUGACUUGUGAGUGGAUGAUGUACAAGCAGUCACAGAAAAUUCUCAAGGACAAAAAGCAAGGUACCUCAGGUGCACUCUCAACCACCCCUGAUAGCCCCCUUUCCAAAGUUGAACAAGCAGAUCUGCCCUUAUCUGGCCCACCCUCAACUACCAAGCUGUGCACCCCUGGGACCCCACAAAACAUGAAAUUCACUGCUUUCUCCACACCUCCAGUCCCCCUACCCCACCCAGCCCAUCCUGAACCAUCAUAUUCUUUCAAGUCUGUUCCUUCGUGGAUUUCAUGGCUCUCUAUCCACUGAACAUCUCAGAGACUGCCCAUAUCUCAGCCUGUUAAGUGAAACUGAAACAAAAUCUUUCCAGAGCCACCUCUUGCUCUGCAUUGUCACAUCUUCUGUGCUUCUGCUCCAACAGCUAUCUGGCUUGUUCUCCUCACUAUGCCUCUGUGCAUGCUGCUGCCUAUGCCUGGAGCACAUUAACAGCCGUGUACCAGGCCCUCUUACAUGCUGAGCAUGAUGUAGAGAGCUGGGAACACAGGAUGAAUCUAGCAGAAUUUGCAGUUAUAGCAGGAAGAAGACCUGAGUGAUAACAAUGCAGCACAGUUGUGACUAUUGGAGAUGUACAUGUACACACACACACACACACAUGCCUACCUAUAUAUUUAGUUGUCUCUACUUGAAAAUAUCCUCUAUGUUAAAGUAACAGAAACAAAAAUGAGAGGUCAGGGGAGCACGUGCCUGGAUUGGUCUCCCUCAUGUGACACUGGUGCUGAGCAGCAGGCUGCAGAGGACUCAUAGGCAGUGAGCCAAGCACAGGGAUGCAGACUGAUGGGCAGGUAGAGCCAUGGAAUCCUGUGAUCUCUGGUUCAGGGCCCUCCUCCUCACACUGAUACAGUAACACUGAGCGAAGCCACCCACACCCAGGUGAGGCACCUGCUUCUGCUCUCUCCUCCCAGGGAUGUUUCCACCAGGGGAAGCACCACAGGAAUCCUCACUGACCUGCUCAAUCAAAGGAACCCUGGCCCGGGAGACAGCAGAGUGGAUCUUCUUGGCAGCAUUCAGUCCUGGGCCUGAGUUACUCCCAAAUGUGGUCAUCUGCUAAGCCCAGGGCAAGGGAGAAAGGUUGGGUCUAUAUAAAGGGAGGGAAAAGAGGUAGACAGACUGGGGGUCUACGCCUCAUAGGCACAAGGCAGGAAGUGGGCAGAGACUGACACAGGGAGUCAACAGCCUCCCCUUGCUGAAUCUGGAAGGAAGAAAAGAGGACAGGAGAGGCACCAGGACAGUCUGUGCAAAAGGCCGGAGGAGGAGGAUACACAGCAGGCAUGUCAGAUUGAGUAUUGUUUAAGCAUCCCCAUCCCCCCUAAAAUGAAGGGACAGACACCAAGGGAUAAAUGAAACCCACAGGCCAGAUGUCAAGAUGUCUGGGCAGACACACUGGGAGUUGGCCACCUCAGGCAGAGGUUCUGAGGUACACCAAGGGCCCUCCCGUCCACUUACCAGGGCCAGCUGCUUCUGGGCUUCCUUCCACCAGGGCCUCCAGGUCUUCCCCACCAUCUGGAUAGGAGGUCAGGCUGGGUCUUGGGGGAUCUGCAAAGACAGAAUGACACUGCAGUCAAUCACAAUGUGGAAAGUCAACCAUAUGUCCAAUAGGAAUCUUUCAGCUCUCCCAACUUUAUCCUGCACACAGCAGGGACUCCCCUAUCUUGCUUCUGUAGCACAUACUGGCUAUAGUUUGGAGAAGACCUGCCCCGGUGUGACAAAAUUCUAUCAAAUAAGUUUCCAUAAAGUAGUCUUUUAUUUAUUUUUUAAUCUUUUAGAAUAAAUUAUUCUUAGAAAAAAUUGAGGACCUAAAAAGGGGAAAUAAGUAGCUGAGGUGACAGUGAUGGGGAACUGGGAUGCUGGGGCUGGGAGAUGUCAGACAUGCACUGGGGCUGGGUCUGUGAGGCUGCUGUGCAGAAGUGGGUGGACACAGCCGGUCCAACUAGACCCCUGGGAAAAGCCUGCUGGCACACCUGGCUUUAAAGAGGGCUCCCCACAUCCCCAGAGCUAAUAAGACAGGAUCGCUAGGCCUAAACGAUUUGUGCAAACAAUAUGGUUUAAACGAAACACCUACUUUUCUUGUGAGUCUGGAGUUUGGGUUUGUGCCAGGCAAAUGGGGCAUAUGGCCAACCCCCAAUAAAAACUCUGGGCCCUGAAUCUCCGAUGAGCUUCCCUGGUAAACAACAUCUCACAUGUAUUGUCACAUCUUGUUGCUGGGGAAUUAAGUGAAUCCCAUGUGACCACUAAGAAGAUUCUGGAAGCUUGAGCCUGGCUACCCUGAACCUCACCCCACUUGCCUUUUCCCCUUGCUGACUGUGCUCUAUACCUUUUCACUGUAGUAAAUCACAGCCAUGAGUCUGACCAUAGGCGGAGUCCUCCUUGUGAAUCGUCGAACCUGGGGGUGCUCCUGGGGACCCUAACCUGGCUGGGAAGGCAACUUCCCUUCUGUGAACCUAAGUUUCAGAAUGAUCAGUGAAAGAGGGCAAUCCAACCUCCUCAUGGGGUGACCAAAAGAUUGAGUGAGAGCUUGACCAGCAGAGGACUUGGUUCAUGACACAGCAGUUUCUGCUACUCCACUGCUUAUUCACUCAGAAAUGGUUCACUGGAGUCCUAUGGUAGGUACUGGGGACACCAAUGAACAAAGCAGGUUAAAAAUCCUGCCCCUAUGAAGUUCCCAUUUCAGAUGACAGAUUAAGUAGUUAGAACACUAAGGAGCCAUGAAGGAGUUGAGGAGAGUGAGGCAGGGCCUUCUCAUAGGUCACAGCUCAGUGUAACAAAGGGAAGCCCUGAGAACUAUGGGCAGAGGGGAGGGCAAUCACAGUGACCCUAAGGUCAAGGAAUGACUCCAUGGUUACAAAUAGGAAAUUCAUAGGGAUGAAGCUGCAGAGGCAGGCAGGCAGGAGGCCAGACAGGGCUUCUCAGCCUCACUCCACUAACAUUUGAAGGUUGGAUAACCCUCGGCUGGAGGUGCUGUCCUGUGCAUUGUGGGAGGUGUGGCAGCAUCUGUGGGCUCCACCCGCUAUAGCACCCCCAUUCCUGGGCUCACCCACUAUAGCACUCCUGCUCCAAACACGAGGAUUAAAAAUGUCUACAGACAUUGCCAAUGUCUGCUGGCAGGCAGAGGCAGCCAGUUGAGAAUGACUGGGUUGGGCCAUGCUGAUACCUAGGCACUCAGAAGCUGGGACUCCAACUGGUGGGUGGAUAGCACAGGUGAUCCCCAAGUAGGACAGUGACUGGGACCCCAGAGUCAGAAGAGCACUCACUCAGAAG